GUAUUAUCCAUCCUAAUCUAGCCUCUAUUCCUUCGAUCUAUACAUCCUUCUUAUCAAAUCCGAGUUUUUGAUCUUGAUUUGUAAUUUUGUUUGCAUGAACCCAAUUUUCCCUAAACCAAGAGGCUAGGCUAUGGGUUUGGCAAGGAUUUGUGGUGAAGAAGGCCAUGGAGGAGGCUUAGGCCGUGAGUUUUGAAGAAGAAAGGGUUUUCCGAAGUAAGGAAAGAAAUAAGAGCAAAAGGAAGGAGAUAUGUGCAAUUGAUGGAGAAUUGUGGACUCUUGAUGAAUCAAGGAAGCUUAAGGCAAUAUGAAGGAAAAGAUAUUCAGCAAUUAAUUCUCUUGGCUGCUCCUAUUGGAUAGAAGGAUGUCAAUGAAUCCUAAAUCAAUCAGACCAUUAAUCAAGGAGUUAGAGUCCCAAAAGAAAAGAAGGAAAGAGUUACAAACUGAAAAAAUCUCUCCUUGGACGUUCAAGAAAAGACGAUCUCACAUACGAAAAAGCAUAGACGCACAAGAGCUUGAGAAGAAGAAGAACUACAACCUUGCCAGAAACGAUCGAUCGCUGCACGCCAGAGAUCGAUCGCUGAUCCGUAUUUUCCAAUUUUCUGAUUUUUGUUGUCUUCUUCCUCCAUGAACUCCUUUGUGUUUUUGAUUUCCAUUAUGUGUAACUAAAUUUCCAGUAGUUAGGGGGCAGUUGAAGCCCCUAGACAUGAUCCAUAACAUGCUUUGACAUUCAAUUUGUUUUCCAAUUAAUAAAGUUGAGGUUUUGUUUA